rnacentral:rRNA from 1 species
AAAUUGAAGAGUUUGAUCAUGGCUCAGAUUGAACGCUGGCGGCAGGCCUAACACAUGCAAGUCGAACGGUAACAGGAAGCAGCUUGCUGCUUCGCUGACGAGUGGCGGACGGGUGAGUAAUGUCUGGGAAACUGCCUGAUGGAGGGGGAUAACUACUGGAAACGGUGGCUAAUACCGCAUAACGUCGCAAGACCAAAGAGGGGGACCUUCGGGCCUCUUGCCAUCAGAUGUGCCCAGAUGGGAUUAGCUAGUUGGUGAGGUAACGGCUCACCAAGGCGACGAUCCCUAGCUGGUCUGAGAGGAUGACCAGCCACACUGGAACUGAGACACGGUCCAGACUCCUACGGGAGGCAGCAGUGGGGAAUAUUGCACAAUGGGCGCAAGCCUGAUGCAGCCAUGCCGCGUGUAUGAAGAAGGCCUUCGGGUUGUAAAGUACUUUCAGCGGGAGGAAGGUGUUGUGGUUAAUAACCGCAGCAAUUGACGUUACCCGCAGAAGAAGCACCGGCUAACUCCGUGCCAGCAGCCGCGGUAAUACGGAGGGUGCAAGCGUUAAUCGGAAUUACUGGGCGUAAAGCGCACGCAGGCGGUCUGUCAAGUCGGAUGUGAAAUCCCCGGGCUCAACCUGGGAACUGCAUUCGAAACUGGCAGGCUUGAGUCUUGUAGAGGGGGGUAGAAUUCCAGGUGUAGCGGUGAAAUGCGUAGAGAUCUGGAGGAAUACCGGUGGCGAAGGCGGCCCCCUGGACAAAGACUGACGCUCAGGUGCGAAAGCGUGGGGAGCAAACAGGAUUAGAUACCCUGGUAGUCCACGCCGUAAACGAUGUCUACUUGGAGGUUGUGCCCUUGAGGCGUGGCUUCCGGAGCUAACGCGUUAAUAGACGCCUGGGGAGUACGGCCGCAAGGUUAAAACUCAAAUGAAUUGACGGGGGCCCGCACAAGCGGUGGAGCAUGUGGUUUAAUUCGAUGCAACGCGAAGAACCUUACCUGGUCUUGACAUCCACAGAAGAAUCCAGAGAUGGAUUUGUGCCUUCGGGAACUGUGAGACAGGUGCUGCAUGGCUGUCGUCAGCUCGUGUUGUGAAAUGUUGGGUUAAGUCCCGCAACGAGCGCAACCCUUAUCCUUUGUUGCCAGCGGUUAGGCCGGGAACUCAAAGGAGACUGCCAGUGAUAAACUGGAGGAAGGUGGGGAUGACGUCAAGUCAUCAUGGCCCUUACGACCAGGGCUACACACGUGCUACAAUGGCGCAUACAAAGAGAAGCGACCUCGCGAGAGCAAGCGGACCUCAUAAAGUGCGUCGUAGUCCGGAUUGGAGUCUGCAACUCGACUCCAUGAAGUCGGAAUCGCUAGUAAUCGUGGAUCAGAAUGCCACGGUGAAUACGUUCCCGGGCCUUGUACACACCGCCCGUCACACCAUGGGAGUGGGUUGCAAAAGAAGUAGGUAGCUUAACCUUCGGGAGGGCGCUUACCACUUUGUGAUUCAUGACUGGGGUGAAGUCGUAACAAGGUAACCGUAGGGGAACCUGCGGUUGGAUCACCUCCUUA